rnacentral:lncRNA from 1 species
AAGUUUUCCCACCUCUGGGGCCGCCCAGCAGCCAAGAAGCCAGCACACAUGCCAGGCAGAAGUAGCACGGAGGAGAACACUCACUUGAACCCAGAUUAAAGACAUCGGAGAUUAAAAUCACUGAAUAGAACUUCAAGAUACAGGGUAGUUUUGGCUCAGUGACCCGCAGCCACGUACAGCUUCAGCAGACACUCUAUCAUCUCUCCUGUCAUCAGCUUCGCGCUCAG